CCAAUAGCUUUGGUUAAUAUAUCUGCCUCUUGUUCUGCUGACCGGACAUGUUGCAAUUUGAUAAAUCCUUUUGUCACUUUCUCACGCACAAAGUGAUAAUCUAGCUCAAUAUGUUUCAUCCA